UCAUUUACGGGCUCCCAUCAUGCUUCACUCUCGGGUAGACCCUUCCACUUGACGAAAAAUUCUUGGCAUGGCGGGGCUACAAAUAUUUUGAGGGCUCCCAACUUGCUUCGUUCUCAGGUAGGCCCUUCCACUUGAUAAAGUAUUCUUGGCAUGACAGAAAACUCUUUUUCUGAACCACUUGAUCAACCACUCUUCUUUUUGCGUUAAUGUACCCAUUAGUGCUUCAAUUAGAGCCUUGAGUGUGUUGAGUUGCGUUUUCCCCUAAUAGAAUGAGAAAACAUAUGCACUUUAUACUAGGGCAAGGUUUGUUGACGUUAUCU
rnacentral:lncRNA from 1 species